rnacentral:rRNA from 1 species
AAACGAUGUCUACUAGCUGUCUGUGGUUUUAAAUCGUGGGUAGCGCAGCUAACGCACUAAGUAGACCGCCAGGGGAGUACGGCCGCAAGGUUAAAACUCAAAUGAAUUGACGGGGGCCCGCACAAGCGGUGGAGCAUGUGGUUUAAUUCGAUGCAACGCGAAGAACCUUACCUGCCCUUGACAUACAGCGAACUUACCAGAGAUGGUUUGGUGCCUUCGGGAACGCUGAUACAGGUGCUGCAUGGCUGUCGUCAGCUCGUGUCGUGAGAUGUUGGGUUAAGUCCCGCAACGAGCGCAACCCUUAUCCUUAGUUGCCAGCGAGUAAUGUCGGGAACUCUAGGGAGACUGCCGGUGAUAAACCGGAGGAAAGUGGGGACGACGUCAAGUCAUCAUGGCCCUUACGGGCAGGGCUACACACGUGCUACAAUGGCGGAUACAAAGGGAUGCGAACCUGCGAGGGUAAGCGGAACCCAUAAAGUCCGUCGUAGUCCGGAUUGGAGUCUGCAACUCGACUCCAUGAAGUCGGAAUCGCUAGUAAUCGUAGAUCAGAAUGCUACGGUGAAUACGUUCCCGGGCCUUGUACACACCGCCCGUCACACCAUGGGAGUGGGUUGCUCCAGAAGUAGAUAGCUUAACCUCGGGAGG